AAUGAACGCUGGCGGCAUGCCUAACACAUGCAAGUCGAGCGGAUGAAGGGGGCUUGCUCCUGGAUGCAGCGGCGGACGGGUGGGUAAUGCCCAGGAAUCUGCCUUAUCUUGGGGGAUAACGUCCGUAAACGGGCGCUAAUACCACAUCCGUCCAUAUAUAGAACGUGGGGGAUCUUCGGUCCUCACGCUAUCAGAUGAGCCUAAGACGGAUUAGCGAGUUGGUGGGGUAAAGGCCUACCAAGGCGACGAACCGUAACUGGUAUGAGAGGAUGAUCAGACACACUGGAACUGAGACACGGUACAGACUCCUACGGGAGGAAGCAGUGGGGAAUAUUGCACAAUGGGGGAAAGCGUGAUCCAGCAAUGCCGGGUGAGUGAUGAAGGUCUUCGGCUUGUAAAGCGCUGUAAGUCGGGAGGAAGGAAAGUAAGUUUACCCCUGGCUGUUUUGACGGUACCAAAAGAAUAAGCACCGGCUAACUUCGUG
rnacentral:rRNA from 1 species